rnacentral:lncRNA from 1 species
UCGUUUAUCGAAAGCCGGAGCCCGGAAGAAGGCCCCUCCCUGGCCCCUGCCGGACCUUGCGGCCUGCGCAGCCCCCAAGUUCUCCCUUCCCGCUCGGUCCGAGAGUGAGAAGUCGCCUGUCGCGGCUCACCGACGGCCGAUCGGCCAGUGAUCGGUCACAGCCACAGAGCAGUGGAAGACGAAAGGGCUGUGGUAUCAGUUUUUUUUUUUCAAAAAUCAAAACACGUGGCAGAUUACAAAUGGGUGAAAAUGUGAUGGGCAGGUAGCAUGGGACGGUGGG